UUUAAUAUGAAAUCAAUCGGUUCUAAUAGAGAGCAGCUAUUAGAGGAAACGGGGAAAGUUCGGUGUAAAUCCGUCGCUGUCCCGCAACUGUGAUGAGAUACUUUAUUAUCUCUCAGUCAGAAUGCCCGCCGAUUAAUAGUAACUUUA
rnacentral:ncRNA from 2 species